CUCUUUUCGACUGUGUGGGAAGACCCUGCACUUGUCAUCUGAGGCCCUUCUCUACGUUCCCCCUCUCUGAGAGGUCUGGAGGGUGACAACACGAGAACAGGCCUUUUCUGUGGUGGCUCCCUAUCUCUGAAAUGCUCUCCCUAGAGAGGCUCGCCUAGCACAAUCAUUACACAUCUUUAAGCACCAGGUAAAAACAUUCCUCUUUACCCAGGCCUUCAACCGUUAAGUAAUUUAUGACCUGUUAAAUGUAGUGGAGAACUGUUAUUAUGAUUAUUAUAUUAAGGUGUGUAUUAUUAAGCUAUGUGUUAUGUUUUUAUUAUUAAUUAUGCUCUCUGAAUUAUAUUUUUAAUGUUGUACUCUGCCCUGCGAUCUUUGGAUAAAGGGUGGUAUACUAUUUGAAAUAAUAAUAAUAAUAAUAAUAAUGUGAAAUUAUGACUCGACACCAUCAUGUUCAUUCUAGUAAUACAAACGCCAAUCACAGGCUAAACUGAAGGUCACCUGAGAUACAGUGCUACUCCGGAAUACGUCCUGUUGCACCCAGUGGGUAAUAUUUCUGAUUAGACAUAUAUAAGGUUGCUUUGUUGCUCAACUUUAACCCAGUUUUGUCCCACUCAAAUCAGCACUCUAAUAUGGAAUGAGUUUGGCAACACACAGCAGCUGAUGUUUAUAACACUAUAUAGAUCCUCAGUGCUAUAUUUAGUGUCCGAAUCAUCCAAAUGCUGACAAAUUUGUAGGCUAUAUAAAAUGGGAAAGACUUUCCUUUUCUUAAAAUGCUCCAUUCAGCACAUUAUCUUCACUAGGCAGCCUUUGUGCCUUAACUUAUUGAUUUAUUACUGACUCAACCCUAAAGUGUAUAUUACUGCAAUGGUGUAGGAAAUGCUUCGCCUUGUUAUUUUCACAUACUGCAGUAUACAUGUGUUAAGGAAACGUGGUUGACGUAAUUUAUACUGCUCCUUCCAAAAACCUCCCACUGUUUUAGAAUGGUUUCGUUAGAGGUUGGGGUGGAAUUCCAUUUCGCUUCCCACAUUACUUGGGUAGUAUGGGAGCUGCUGCUGUAAAAUUCUUUCCCAUUCUGCCCGGGUAGCAUGAGAAGUCCUAGGCAAGGCACACUGUGGCUCCUUUCCAUGGCAGUGUUGACCAAACCAAAGUGUUAGGAGGAGCUCCAAAACAGAGAUAAGAAGAACAAAGACAGCUCUAGUCCAGUACCCUGUUUCAAACUAUGGCUGGGCAGAUGGGUAAAACCUAUUUGGUGUUUCACAACUUUCUGACUAGUUGCAGGACGUUAGCCAGACCUAGCAGAGCAAACGCAGAAUCCACGGAAGCAAUUGGCGACUUGGCUGUAGACAGGAUAGACGAAGCAGGAACCAGGAACUUGUAGUUAGGUGUUUAUUAUAUACAGUGGACUAUUUACAGGAACAGAACACGGAUCUUUUGCUAGCUCUCUCUGACACAACUCACAACUCCUACACUCACUGACACACUGAACCACUGAACACUGAAAUACUGAACUAACACAUUCCAGUUAGUAGGCCAUUAGUUAUCACUUGUAUUUAGUGGAUGAAACUUUUUGAUCUGGAUGUUCCCAAUACCUGUCAUGAAUAGUUGUCAGAGAUAUACCCCAUAUCCACAAAUGGUUUCCUCCUAAAUGACUUGGAUCAUUACAUUAUCCAGGCAGAGUUCGCAUUCCAUCCAGGGCUAGCCCUACCAUUAGACUGAGACAAACACCUCAGGCGGCAGAUAACGGUGGUGGUGCUAUUCUCCUAUAUUGUUUCAAAGCCUUUCCUGGGCCCCUCCUGGGCCUACUAUCUCAGGUGUGGCAGGAGGACACCACACCGCCACCAGUUUUGAAGCCAGAUUUAACUGCAAGUUCUGUUGGCUUCUGUUCAUGGAACAGGGAGGGUGUCUUUUGCCUCAGGCGGCCAUUUUGUAUUGGGCAGGCCCUGAUUCCAACCACAAGCAUGAUGAGAUGUAGGAGCCAUAGACACUAAUGAGAUGCAGGUGACUGCUCUAUGAAAAAUAAAAAAUUUAUCUGCCACAGUUGGGGGCACUUAGUUUUAUCUACUGCUACCUUCCCCCCUGCAGCUCUGCCAGUUAAGGAGCUACUACUAAAUAGCUAUUCCAUCUACAAGGCUCCUUCUCUGAUCCCCCACCCCUGGAAAAAGCUCUAAUUACAACAACGUGUUGGAACUGAGCGAUCAAAGUGUUCAAGUCCACUAAUCACCAUUUGACAUGUUGUCUUUUAUCUCUUCAAGAUCACUUUCAUCUGUUCAUUAGAAUCUUUUGACUCUGAAAUCUCCGAGGGUCCUGCUGAUGUCCUUUCCCCCACCGGUUCAAAGUACAGUAUGUCGCACCAGAACAGAUGGGACUCAUUAGCUGUAGCCCACUGUAAAGCGAAGGCGGGGGGGGGGGGAGAGACCCUCAGGGACCCCUUACCUCCAGAGCUCCUACAGGCUUUGCGGCUGUCUGUUUGGUACGCCACCAUCCCUUUUGACCAACAUUAUCGCAAACAGUUUUGUUUGCAGAAGUGGUUCCUCUGAUCUCAGCUAAUGGUGUGCCCACAGCCAUGCCAGUAAUUAGCUGGCUGUUGUCAUGGAGACGACAACAGCUCUGUGGUGUCUUGGGAUUCCGGUCUUCAAGUACACCGCAGACCCCCAAGAUGUGCUGAUCUUGAAUUUCAGAGGAAGGCUUGUAAGCAUUCUGGGGCAAACGUAGCAGCAAAGAUCUAUGCUUGUAAGUGGCACCCGGAAUGCUUGGAUAGCUCAGUUGGUUAGAGUGUGGUGCUGAUAACACCAAGGUUGCAGGUUCGAUAGCUGUGUAUUCCUGAAUUGCAGGGUGUUGGUGGACUUGAUGAUCCUCAGGAGCCCUUCCAACUCUACAAUUCUGCGAUUUUAUGCUUUUGUAUCUUCUCUACCGAUGGAUCUUAGUGGCAUUGUUUCAACCUAUGAAUGCCUGCUGAGAAUCUUCCUAUGCUGCCAGACUUAUGAAAACAAUUAAGAAAACAUGUUUCCAUAAUAGUGGAUGGUCUCUGAUUUUAAAUUUUUAUGUGAGUUGGGGUUUUUUUAUGAUAUAGCGAUAUAUAAAUAUUUUAAAGAAAGAAAGAAAGAAAGAAAGAAAGAAAGAGAGAGAGAAAGAAAGAAAGAAAGAAAGAAAGAAAGAAAGAAAGAAAGAAAGAAAGAAAGGCAGGCAGGCUAUAUGCAACCUUCCUAUUCAGAGGCAAGAGGCUAGUGAAUAUCAGUUGCUGGAAGCAAGGGCAGGAAAGGGCGAUGGCCUUCAUUUCCUGCUUUGGGGCUUCUCUGUGUCAUCUUCUCUGGCCACAAUCCUUACCCAACCUCAAAGAAAGAUACAGAUAGGGAAUAGGCGCCUCUCCUGGACAGGGAUAGCCUAAUUUCUGUUGUCUAUGCUCUGGUAACCUUCAGGUUAGAUUACUGCAAGGCAUUAUACACGGGACUGCCUUUGAAAAUAGUUUGGAAACUGCAGCUAGAAGACCUGAGGACAUCCCACUGGUCCUGGCCUGGCUGCAGUGGCUACCAAUUAGAUUCUGGGUCCAAUUCAACGUGCUGGUCUUGACCUAUAAAGCCUUAUGUAGCUUGGGGCCCCAGUAUCUCUGUGUAUCUCUUCAUCUGAACCAUCUCGGACCCUUGCAAUUGUCAUCUGAGGCCUUUCUUUGUGUGCCCCUUCCAUGGGAGGUCCACGGUGUGGCAACACAAGAACAGGUUUUUUCUCUGAUGGCUCCCUGCCUCUGUAAUGCUCUCCAUCUCAAGUUCAUUUGUGCCCUCUGUAAUGCCUCAUUCAGGUAUAAGGUAAAGGGACCCCUGACCAUUAGGUCCAGUCGUGGCCGACUCUAGGGUUGCAGCGCUCAUCUCGCUUUAUUGGCUGAGGGAGCCAGCGUACAGCUUCCGGGUCAUGUGGCCAGCAUGACUAAGCCGCUUCUGGCGAACCAGAGCAGCGCACAGAAAUGCCGUAUACCUACCCGCCGGAAUGGUACCUAUUUAUCUACUUGCACUUUCGAACUGCUAGGCUGGCAUGAGCAGGGACCGAGCAACGGGAGCUCACCCCGUCGCAGGGAUUCAAACUGCAGACCUUCUGAUCUGCAAGUCCUAGGCUCUGUGGUUUAACCCACAGCGCCACCUGCAUCCCCAUUCAGGUAUAAACCUGCAUUCAGGUAUAAACCUGCAUCCUAAUAUUAUUCUGAAGUGCCUUUAACUCUAUCCCUUCGCAUCCCUGGCUGUCCCUAGUGGCAAUGGGGGGACAAACAUCCUAACGCCAGGAUCUCCCUCCUGACUGUUCUAUUCCCUUUCUUAAAAACGCGUUCUACCAAAACCAACAGGGCAUAUCCCCCUAGGAAAUAAGAAUUUGGAGUGGAACGUUAGCUGCAGGAGCCAAGUAUUUAUCAAAUAUUUUCCCCAGUAACAUGAAAAUCUUUGGGGAUCCUUCAAACUAACGAGGAGUAAUUUCCCUCCUUCAAGUAUCUGACUGUUAAAUCAAAACCCAAAUUUUGUUCACAAGCUAAUGUUCUGCUUGUAGUCGUAUCAUCUGUUUGCGCAAUCCAAUUUCACUGCUGAAAUACAGUUGAGAAUUUAAAGUGAUGCUCUGCUCCAUCUCCUGACUCUGGGAUUCCUUGUUCAGGCAAUAGCCUAUUAUGGUAUGUGGCGGUUUGGGAUGUUUCUUCUUCUUCUUCCUUUUCCCAAAGUCUUCUUCUAAUGUAAAUAGCAAUUUUGGCUCAAGCCAAUCAAACGGGAAUUCAGGGCAAAUGAUACCUGCACAGCGAGCCAGGUGGGAGAAAUUUUAGUACACAAGAGCAAUGUAUCAGGGAUAAUGAAAGAAAUUUUGCUGACAGUUUCACCGAAUACAGCAAAGAUGCAUCCAAACAAAAGGAAAUCCAGAGAAUUAUGAAGGGGAUGAGAUAUUGAUUUGGGGGAACAGAGUAAAUAUAUACCGUACAUAUAAUAGUGGUAUGCUGGAUGUAUUUGAGAGACAGGGUUAAAGUGGUACCUCAGGUUACAAACGCCUCGGGUUACAAAUACUUCGGAUUACAGACUCCGCUAACCCGGGAGUGUGGAAAAUUCCACUCCUCCCGUGCUGCAGAUGUGUGGGAUUGUUACAUGUCACAUGUCUGUUUACAUUCCAGCACUGAUUAUUGGGUCUUGUGAGCGGAAAGGGAGAUACGCUGUUUCCGCUCUGUAUAGCUAUUGCUUUUUCAGUUCUCUCUCUGAGGAAGAAAAACAGAGAGAGAAGCCAUGUUUUUCUUUGUUCUGUUACGUUUUGCAAUAAAUUAGGCUUAGAUGUUACUCUUCAGGGCUAAGCCUCUGUUUGGACUCUGCUAGUUGUGCACUCAUGUCCUUGGAACUGGGUCACAUCAGCGUGACAGGAGUACCUCAGGUUAAGAACUUUACCUCAGGAUGAGAAUAGAAAUCGCAUGCCGGCAGAGGGAGGCCCCAUUAGCUAAAGUGGUACCUCAGGUUAAGAACGGUUUCAGGUAAGAAUGGACCUCCAGAAUGAAUUAAGUUCGUAACCAGAGGUACCAUUGUACUUGCUUUUUCUGGCAGUGCAGUGCAUUGAGCAAUGGAAACACCAGGCCUGCUAUUCUCCGAGAGUAUGAAAGCAAACAAUUUGCUGCUUCUUAUACUUGGACUAAUUGCCUAAUUAUAUCCAGAUGCUAUCAAUUUUUUCUGUCUCUCUUAAAGUCUCUUGUAUCCUUCCUUUUGGCUUACUCAUCCCCCUCUGAAACUAGGGUCACAUUGACACAACGCAUUUAAAGUGCUAUGAUGGGUAAAGGUAAAGGUAAAGGAUCCCUGGGCGGUUAAGUCCAGUCAAAGGCGACUAGGGGGUUUGCAGCACUCAUCUCGCUUUCAGGCCAAGGGAGCCGGUGUUUGUCCACAGACAGCUUUCCAGCUCAUGUGGCCAGCAUGACUAAACCGCUUCUGGUGCAACGGAACACCGUGACAAGUGCCAGAGCGUGCAGAAACGCCGUUUACCUUCCCACCACAGUGGUACCUAUUUAUCUACUUGCACUGACAUGCUUUCAAACUGCUAGGUUGGCAGGAGCUGGGACCAAGCAACAGGAGCUCACUCCAUCGCAGGGAUUCGAACCGCCGACCUUCCGAUCGGCAAGCCCAAGAGGCUCAGUGGUGUAGAUCACAGCACCACCCGCAUCCUGCUAGGAUACCAUACCCCCCAAGUGCCCCUAUUUCUCACGGACAGUCCUGGAACUAUGAAAGCCAUCCCAACUUUUGAUUUGAUUCCAGAAUGUCCCUAUUUCCCCUGCCACUGCUGCCGAGCUCGGGGAGGAGAAUGAGCUGGCGCUCAUCCCAAGAGAUGGCUGCGGCGGGGGCUGUGAGGGAGCCUCCCAUGACUUCUCCAUGACUUCCGCUGCCAGCCGCCAGUGUGGUGUAGUGGUUAAGAGCGGUGGACUCGUAAUCUGGUGAACCGGGUUCGGUCCCCGCUCCUCCACAUGCAGCUGCUGGGUGACCUUGGGCUAGUCACACUUCUCUGAAGUCUCUCAGCCCCACUCACCUCACAGAGUGUUUGCUGUGGGGGUGGAAGGGAAAGGAGAAUGUUAGCCGCUUUGAGACUCCUUCGGGUAGUGAUAAAGCGGGAUAUCAAAUCCAAACUCCUCCUCCUCUUCUUCUUCUUCUUCUUCAGCAGCUCGUAGUGGCUUCUGGAGAGUGGGCGAGGAGGAAGAGAGGCUGCCGUCGCUGGGGCCCAGCCCCACGUGAUGCGCCAGCUCUGAGAGACAGGCAGAGGGCAGGGCUGCCCUGGGCAGGAAGAAAGGGGAAACGGAUUGCAAGGAGUGUUGAUUUUAUUUAUCUUUUAAUGCUCCGUGCAUCUGCAUCUAGUCUUUCCCCUUUCUAAAAUUUAUUUGUUGGCCAGUGUUUUUCUUUUUGUAAAUCUACCAAAGAAUAAAAUUAAAUCAGGGUUUUCUUAAGGGGUUUUCUUAGGAAGGUGGCGGGAUGUCAGUGCUAUAUCUUGUUGGUUUAGUGAUUGUGGCAUUCAUGCUUCUGGGGGCGGGGACACACACAAAAUGGGGGUCAAUUGGAGGGAAGUGAUAUAUGUCUCUAUUUUCAUCUGAGGAAUGUUGGAGGGUAUUGUAAACUAUCACAACAUCCCUUAAAGAAUUCUGGGAGAUGUAGUUUGAGUUAAGGGUGGCGCUGUGGGUUAAACCACAGAGCCUAGGACUUGCUGAUCAGAAGGACGGCGGUUUGAAUCCCCGCGACAGGGUGAGCUCCCGUUGCUCGGUCCCUGCUCCUGCCAACCUAUCAGUUCAAAUGCACGUCAAAGUGCAAGUAGGUAAAUAGGUACCGCUUCGGCGGGAAGGUAAACGGCAUUUCUGUGCGCUGCUCUGGUUUGCCAGAAGCGGCUUAGUCAUGCUGGCCACAUGACCCGGAAGCUGUUCACCGGCUCCCUCGGCCAGUAAAGCGAGAUGAGCGCCGAAACCCCAGUGUUGUCUGCGACUGGACCUAACGGUCAGGGGUCCCUUUACCUUUACCUAUUCCUGACAGAGAUACAAAUUCUCAGAGUGGCAUAAGAGCCACUCCCCCUUUCACAUGAAACUCUGGAACUCAAGGCAGCAUACAUAGAGUUUCGGGAUGGCCUCCCAUCCAGGCCCUGACCAGAUCCAUGCCUGCUUAGCUUCAGCAAGAUGGCUACAUCCUGUGCACUCAAGCCACCUUUUCACUUAGCAAACUUUUCACUUUUGCUCCUCCCCAUCUCUUCCCCUCACCCAACACCUACUGUUCAUGCAUUUGUUUCAGUCAGAACCUUUGUCUUUUCUUCAAAGUGCUCAGAAAUGUGACCUAGUUCACAAUCAAGCAGUGCAACAUUUGUAUUUUCAUUAAAAUAGCUGCAUUUUUAGAUUUUUUUUGGGGGGGGGAAUAUUGGCAAAACGAAACAAAGGACAAGUGGGAAAUGAAUUCCUUGGAAACACAGUGUGAUUCAUAUUUCUUUUACCUGAAGGUAUAUCUGUUUUCUGAAAUAAGUUUUUCUAAUUAUGUGAUUGCUUGAAGAUACAGAAAUGUUAAAACAAAACCCUCAGUUUAAUUAGAGCAGCCUCACUGAAAUUCAGUUUGUGUCUAAAAAAAUUUCCCAGCUGUUUCUGAAAUGCCUGGCAUGAGUUUUUGAAGGUGUGUUGUUGUUGUUGUUUUGCCACGCAAGUAGACUUUUGUGAUCAUGCGAAAUAGGGCUCUUUUACACAUUUCAUUUGUUGUUCUAGGCAAAGCAAAUGAGAUUUCUCUUUUAAUUUCAUCUCAGCGCCUUUUAAUUAAAAGUCUCAAGAUUUGUUUUCUCUUUGAAAAAAUUCUGAUACAGAAGAGUUCUGGUAAAUCAUUCAAUGGAGCUUGAAAUUUUUCCAAGCAAUGAAUAAAUUUGUAAAUGCUGAUGGCUCCAGAAUGCUAAAUAUAUAGCUGGUAUAUAUUUAAAGUUGAAAGCUGGGUGAGGGGAACAUUUUAAAUGUUUCUCGGGGGAAUAUUAGUAAAAAGUACCAAUUAAUUCUGGUGAUUAGUUUUCUUUUCCUCUGAUACCAUAUUUUCCUUCAUUAAUGCCUCCUUUUCAUUCUUAUAGGAAGGUUAUUAAAAGCUUCCUGAAGAAGCAGUCUCCUGUUUUUUUGUUGUUGAGCCAUUUCCUGAUCAGCUGGUGAAGCAAGCGGGAGUAGGGAGAUUGUCUGGAGGGAUGUAAGUCUCCCCUUCCCAUGAUCUCUUCCCUGGCCGGCAGUGCCCAGCUGGUCGGGAUUGCUAGCAUCCAUCUGCCUCGGGAUGCAACGGUGGAGUGUGCCUUUGGGGCUAAAGUCAAACUGUUGGAAAGUUACAGCGCCUGCUGUGGCUGUAGAGACCGAUAGGGGAGAGACAUGUUUUGUUGCAGCUGGGGAAGAUGAAGGCGUCCGGUUGUGCUGCUGCAGAUUCACCAUGACAUUUGUUCUUUCUGCACUCCUUCCAGAGGUCAUUCCUUCCCUGGUCAUUGCUGUGGCUACAUGACCUGACUGUCUGUCUCCAGAGACUGCCGUCGUCUGCAAGCGAUUCCCACACAGUGGGGUUAAUGUUGCCAGCCUUCGUGCCACAUUUGCAGAUGUCUUUGCAACACAGAUUUGGUCUAGCUUCCCCUAGAGCAAACCAUGGAAGAUUCUGCCAUUCUGUGGACAUGACUAAGCCAGCAUAGAUGUCGCUGAGACAGAAGUGUGAAUAAGCUGGGAAUGGGGGCUUGUGAGAGCGCAUCUUGGCUGGAAACUCAGUCCUGCCAUGUGAUGCGUGGAAGGCGUUGAGCAUCGCUCCUGGCGGGUGAAAUGGGGAGAACCAAACUUAAAACUGGAAAAAUGAGAAACGGAGAGAAACUGAAAUUGACAGAUUCACCCACCCUACUUCCACCAUCUUUGGUUGUGGCCCCACCUGCGCAGCACCCAGAAGGCUAUUUGUGGGGAAAUGUGGUCCUCUGCAUGAAAAAGAUUUCCCACCUUUGCUUCUUUCCAAAAUGGUUUCACCAUUUCCUUUUUAACUCUGCAUUUGUGAUCAAGACAUAAUUGUGGGCUCCUGUUUUGUAAUGUCUGCCUUAUCAGUUCACAUUUGUAAGGCUUAGGGAAGCAGUCUCGGUCAUUGACUAUGUCUUCGAACAACCCCUGCUAAAAUUGCCUCCUGGCCUGAUGCCACCCGCCAUGAUUACAUUAAAUGUAUUACCAUAAAACCUCAGAGUUAUAGAACACUUUGAGAAGAGAGGGAGUGUUUGUAACAGACUUCAGAAUGCUCAUGGCCAUUGACUCAUUAAAUGUUCUUAACUCAUUAACCAUCUUGGGGUUUGCCCCCCCUCUUUUUAAUUGAUUGAGAAGCCAAUUAAAAUAAACAUUGUGCUAUCUCAUUAGGAGUGUUAGUCCGGGCAUUUUGAAAUGUUUGCUACAGUUUCUCUCAACCGUAGGUAAGCUGGGUGCCAUAACAUUGUCUGGUACCUUGAGCCUUGCAGCGGCAAGAGCAGAAAUUGACUCUGGCUGUGAAGCUGUGGUGCAUUUCACUGUUGGAGUGUUGUGGGUAUCAAGGAGUUAAACACUCUGUGCUCAUUGGGAAUGCUGACUCAACAGCAUGUGAUGACUAAGCAUCAUAAGACAUGGGGCGUUGCCUAAUUGAUCCAUUGCCAUGGAUCAAGGCAUGGUUGACUUUAGGUGGCAGGGGUGUGAAGAGAUGACGGCUUCUCCCCAGAAUGUAAUUCCACCUGUAGGCUGUGUAUCCUGAAUGUAAG